AAAGACUGCAUUUUACACAGUUCAUGUUUAAUAUUUGUCUGUCCAUCUUAUUUGAAAAAAAAUAUGAUUAGUAUUUUUAUUGUUAUUAGAUGAUAAAAUAUGAAUAGUACUUUAGGUGUGAUUAUUUUUUAAAAAAAAUUAUAAAUAUUUUAGAUAAGAUAGGCGGUCAAACAUUGGACAUGAAAACUCACCACUGCACUUAAA
rfam:Oryza glaberrima chromosome 6 Oglab06_unplaced167_21, whole genome shotgun sequence.